UGCAUAAAAAAGUUAAAAGAACACGAACUCACUUUUUUGUAGGUCCAGAAUUAAUAAGUUCUUGCCUGGUCGGAAUGCUUUAAUGGUACUUCCGCCCAAAUAAUGAAUUGCAAUCGCCUCCUCGUCCAACGAUGGCGACACGGCGGCGAAAUCUUCACAGCUUUCUUCAGAGCAACUGCAAGCAAAUGGCGAGGGCGAGGAUUUCGGAGGCUGCAGCAAGACGGAACAUAUGGGAGGUGAUCACUACUCCUUGCUGCUUGGACGCUUGGUAGUGUUAUGAUGAUAAGUCUAUGUAAGAACUUGUGACGGAGGAGAAAGGUAUAGAUCUGAGGAUGGCAGAUCAUCCGAUGAUUUUGGUCUUCCAUGUUCAACACAUAGAUUAACUUUUCCCUCUGACCUCUGGGAUGUAUCAAUUGUUUGUCCCUUCUGCAAAAAAGAUCGUGAGCUUGAUCAGAAAUAAACAGUGGAACUCCUCUUCAGAGAUUGUGAGGAUCGAAUGCUUUUGGGAGGCAAAUAGACUUGGAAUGGAAGUGGGUAAAUGUUCUUAAAUCACCAAUUCUGCUAUUUUGAAGCAUUGUCUGAGUUUUUUGGAAUGGAAGGAACAAAAUCCUCGUGGAUCGUGCAGAGGGGGACACUAAGACAGCAUGUUCUAUGCAGCGAAGCAGUACAAAAUGUUAAGUGUUUUCAGGAAGCAAUACCAAACGUUUGAACUUUUACUGCAGACAUCUCACAGGGUUACCACAAUUGAAAAAGAUGCUUCUUGAGUCUUCAACUUUUAUGAUAGGAUGGACCUCCAAUUGUAUUACCAAGAAUGUCGGUUAUUCAGGUACUUAAUAGCCAUGCCGGGGUUCGAUUAAGUUUACUUGGAAACAUGAGGCAACUAAGAAUAAGGAUACGGUCCUUGGUGUGUUCUAGAUGCUUAACAUCAAGCACCAAGGCAUAUCCUCAAGUGACCACUACAUAAGCAGAAUGCUGGAAAACGGGGAGGCCAACACCCCUACAAUAUCCUCUACUCAUUUGGAUAGCUAUGGCAUUCCAUUACUUAUGUAACGGCAUUAGACACCACCCCCUAUUAAGGAAUCCACAGAAAUGGUAAAUACAUCAUGUAUUUCCAGUAACAAACGUAAUCUGACCGUUAAGUGACAUUGAAGAUGAAGAUGCACUUCGUGAUCCUACCAUGCAUACCGGAAGGAUUACGGCCUGGAUUUAUAAGCUUGCACCUACUGCUCACUGCUUAGCUACCUCUUUCAGUAGAACUCUAAUUCAGAGAUUGUAAAUCAUCCAAUGCUUUUGAAGGGGAGACGUGGAAUUGAAGUGGAUAAAUCAUACAUGUGCCGAAAUUCCCGAUUCUUUAGGAGAAUUAUCUGCGUUAUUUGGAGUGGAAGGAACAUAAUCCUCAAGGAUCGAUAGGAGGAUGGGCGCAUGCAGUGAGAAGAUUAUCUCAACCGACCACCGCAUAAGCAGAAUGAUGAGUUUGCAGUUUCUUCAUCUAUACAAGUGGAUUUCUCGUAGCAGGGCUUCUAGAUUCAAGAAGGCCACCAUAUAUUCUGGGCUUUGUGCUGCCAUACAUCAGGUGUGGAUAGCUAAAAAAUGAAGCAUUUUGGGAGAAGAGACUGCCCACUGUUAGCAGUUCUUGGCUGCGGAUUCAAGCUGUUGUAAAAGGAUGAAUUCGGGGUGGUUUUAUGCGUAAUUCUUUACAGCUUUGUUUUUGGCCGUUGUUCUGCUGCUUUGUUUUGGUUGUAAAACGUUUUAAGUUCGUGUCUCUUUGGGCCUUUGCCUUGUAGAAUGUAGACAUGUUCUUGUUUUGCGCUUAUUUGUUUAAUUCGAUUAUUACCUUUAGAAAAAAAAAAAUUGUACAUCCGCCUCAAUUUUAGCGCCGAAAUAUUAUAAUCUAUAACUAAAUUUAGUGA